UGAGCUGUGAACUUUGCACUUUCUUCUGAUCCACCAGAGUCCCUGUGGCACAAUGAAUGAUUAUUAUGCAUAUUAGACUUUCUCAUAUUGAUUCAUGAUACGGAACCAUAUUUUCAUAAAGAAAUGUUUUUAACGGAUAUAUCACUAGGUCUAGAAUAAUUAAUGUUAUAGUGUAGAGAACCGUGCAUUUAAGAAUUGAUGUUGAUGCUCACUGCAAAUAAGCAAUCAAAUGAGAAGUGGAAGAUUUGACCAUCUGAGAAAACAUUUCAGAUUCCUUUUGAGGAUAACAAUGUAAUUAAAAUAGAAUGACACAGAGGAAUUUUAAGCAAAAGA
rnacentral:lncRNA from 1 species